GGAGGAAUAUUGGGUCAAUGGGGGCGGAAGCCUGAACCAGCCAAGUAGCGUGAGGGAUGACUGCCCUAUGGGUUGUAAACCUCUUUUAUAAGGGAAUAAAAUACGGGACGUGUCCUGUUUUGCAUGUACCUUAUGAAUAAGGACCGGCUAAUUCCGUGCCAGCAGCCGCGGUAAUACGGAAGGUCCGGGCGUUAUCCGGAUUUAUUGGGUUUAAAGGGAGCGCAGGCGGUCUUAUAAGCGUGACGUGAAAUGCAGCGGCUCAACCGUAUGAUGUGCGUCGCGAACUGUGAGACUUGAGUGUAUUCGAUGUCAGCGGAAUUUGUGGUGUAGCGGUGAAAUGCUUAGAUAUCACGAAGAACUCCGAUCGCGAAGGCAGGCAUCCGGGGUGUUACUGACGCUGAGGCUCGAAAGUGCGGGUAUCAAACAGGAUUAGAUACCCU
rnacentral:rRNA from 1 species